rnacentral:lncRNA from 1 species
GCCGUUCUGACCGUUAUAUCAAACUUCAGUUUUAAUUAGAUUUUUUUUCAUUCCCAUAAAUAAAUGUUGUUCUUUUCUAUUUCAAUAUACUGCAAUGGUCAAACAUGUUAAGGCAUGUGCAUGCUUUCCGUGUAUUAUCAGACAUUCCAGCUAAAAAUGAGUUCCAUGGCGUACAGUAAUAUAUGAUUUUUAGAAAUUUCCAGUUGACCGUCACUUCCACUGUGGUAAACUCAGCAAUGACUGCAUUUUUGAUAUUGUCAUUUUUAUCAAAGUUAGGUUGAUUUUGAA